CAGUCGCCGCGGUAAUACGUAGGUGGCAAGCGUUGUCCGGAAUUAUUGGGCGUAAAGGGCUCGCAGGCGGUUUCUUAAGUCUGAUGUGAAAGCCCCCGGCUCAACCGGGGAGGGUCAUUGGAAACUGGGAAACUUGAGUGCAGAAGAGGAGAGUGGAAUUCCACGUGUAGCGGUGAAAUGCGUAGAGAUGUGGAGGAACACCAGUGGCGAAGGCGACUCUCUGGUCUGUAACUGGCGCUGAGGAGCGAAAGCGUGGGGAGCGAACAGGAUUAGAUACCCCCGUAGUCCCUGUCUCUUAUAC
rnacentral:rRNA from 1 species